rnacentral:lncRNA from 1 species
UUUCAAAGCAUCUGGUCAGAUCUCAUGGAAUUUCUUGGCUGCUACAUGUUCAGUCAGAGAGAAAGAAAUAGUGGGGAGAGUCCAUGAUCACCUUGUAGCAUUUCACUGGAUGCCUCAGAAGAGCAGAUGGGGAUAGUGAGCAGUGGAUAAGGACAGCUAAAGAGCCAAUGUCAGGACAGCAUGAUCCCUGGUAUCCCUGGGAAGGAUUGCUGCAUGGAGGGCUAUGAAGAGGCAUGUACCUCUUGAGACCUGCCAGGACUUUCAGGACUUACUGCCAAGGUAAAUCCAACUCUUUUUCCUUUUGGGGCUAUCUAGAUACUAUGGUCAGUUAUUGUCAUGAAGUGCUUGGCUUUGAUGAAGGGAAACUUUUCUGACAGUGUUCUCAUGAAGGAGUAGUUCAGAUUUGCUUCUCAUUCCCUAUGUCCUCUGUAUCUUUGAUCCAGUUCCUUCUUCUGACUCAUUCUUUUUUUUUUUUUUCCUUAUCACUUGUUCUGAAAAUACAUGGCCUUUGAAC